GGUUGGACGAAUAUGGAUUCGUUUUCAAGUCACUUUAGUUUCCAGGGGGGGAAGCU
rnacentral:ncRNA from 12 species